rnacentral:tRNA from 1 species
AGCCCUGUGGCCGAGAGGAAAGGUUAGGAUUUGCAAAAUCUUUUACGUUGGUUCGAAUCCAACCGGGGCGU